UGAAUACAUGACACGUUCUACGGAUAGCCUCUUCUUUUUCUUUAAACGACCUUUCAGAAGUAAUUCUUUCUCCUUCAUUAUUCACCUGGUGAAGGAGCAAGAAUAAGCUCUGAAACGUGACAUAAAGAAAACAAAAACGUGUCGUGUAUUCAUCAGCGUAAUUGUUCAGUGUCACCUGCUACCAUGAAUAUAUACGUCAAUACUGUCACAAUACACGUUUAGAUCCAUGUACGUUUGACCCAUUUAUUGUUAACUGCCCAUUGCGAACACACGCAUUUAGAAGUCUCUUCAGUGAUCAGAAAGACCUACUCGCCAAUACGUCAUGUAUUUGCAAGUAUUCACUCUUCUUCUCAUGGUCCCCUGUGCACAAUCAUUUGCCACUCCGAUUGAAACGGAAACAAACAAGUGGGGAACAGUGAUUUCCUUUUGUACCUACGAAGGUAUUCAGUUCCUGCCCGGG